CCAGCAGAAGGCCAGUCACAGCACAAGCAGUUCGCUAGGUCCACAGUCUUUAGUUGGCUCAUAAGCACAGGUCCAGACCAGGUCCACAGUCUUUAGUUGGCUCAUAAGCACAGGUCCAGACUAAGAGCCAUUGUCUUCUGGAGAGAAUUCAGCCUCU